GUAGCAUGCUUGACACAUCCAAGUUAAAUGGGAAAUAGUGUUUCCUCUGGCGAACAAGUGAAUAAGGCGUAAUAACCUACCCCAUAGGCUGAGGAGCAAAAGGAGGAAUAUGCCUAAGGAGGGGUUUGCGUCCAAUUAGCUAGUUAGUGAGGCUAUAGUGUACUGAGGCGAUGAUUAGUAGCUAGUCCGAAAGAAUGAUCAGCCAUAUUGGGAUGGAGACAUGACCCAAACUCCUAUGAGAGGCAACGGUAGGGAAUUUUUCACAAUGGGAAAAGCCUGACAGAGCAAUGCCAUGUGGAGAUAAAAAGGCCUAUGGGUUGUGAACUUCUUUUCCCAAGAAGAAUUCAAUGAUGAUGUCUGCGCGAUAAGCAUUAGCUAACUUUGUGCCGGCAGCCGUGGUAAUAUAGAGGAUGCA
rnacentral:ncRNA from 1 species